CCUACGGGAGGCAGCAGUGAGGAAUAUUGGUCAAUGGACGCGAGUCUGAACCAGCCAAGUAGCGUGAAGGAUGACUGCCCUAUGGGUUGUAAACUUCUUUUAUAAGGGAAUAAAACGCAGCAUGUAUACUGCUUUGCAUGUACCUUAUGAAUAAGGAUCGGCUAACUCCGUGCCAGCAGCCGCGGUAAUACGGAGGAUCCGAGCGUUAUCCGGAUUUAUUGGGUUUAAAGGGAGCGUAGGCGGGUUGUUAAGUCAGUUGUGAAAGUUUGCGGCUCAACCGUAAAAUUGCAGUUGAUACUGGCAGCCUUGAGUACAGUAGAGGUAGGCGGAAUUCGUGGUGUAGCGGUGAAAUGCUUAGAUAUCACGAAGAACCCCGAUUGCGAAGGCAGCUUACUAAACUGUGACUGACAUUGAUGCUCGAAAGUGUGGGUAUCAAACAGGAUUAGAUACCCGAGUAGUC
rnacentral:rRNA from 1 species